rnacentral:rRNA from 1 species
UACCUUUUGUAUAAUGGGUCAGCGACUUAUAUUCUGUAGCAAGGUUAACCGAAUAGGGGAGCCGGAGGGAAACCGAGUCUUAACCGGGCGUUAAGUUGCAGGGUAUAGACCCGAAACCCGGUGAUCUAGCCAUGGGCAGGUUGAAGGUUGGGUAACACUAACUGGAGGACCGAACCGACUAAUGUUGAAAAAUUAGCGGAUGACCUGUGGCUGGGGGUGAAAGGCCAAUCAAACCGGGAGAUAGCUGGUUCUCCCCGAAAGCUAUUUAGGUAGCGCCUCGUGAAUUCAUCUCCGGGGGUAGAGCACUGUUUCGGCUAGGGGGCCAUCCCGGCUUACCAACCCGAUGCAAACUGCGAAUACCGGAGAAUGUUAUCACGGGAGACACACGGCGGGUGCUAACGUCCGUCGUGAAGAGGGAAACAACCCAGACCGCCAGCUAAGGUCCCAAAGUCAUGGUUAAGUGGGAAACGAUGUGGGAAGGCCCAGACAGCCAGGAUGUUGGCUUAGAAGCAGCCAUCAUUUAAAGAAAGCGUAAUAGCUCACUGGUCGAGUCGGCCUGCGCGGAAGAUGUAACGGGGCUAAACCAUG